GGGGGCGACCUGGCUUCGACGUGGGUUGUGCAGGAUCUCAGGGCAUGCCGAGGACCAGUCACCUCGUAAAUCCAUCUGGAACACUACAAA
rnacentral:tmRNA from 1 species